AGUGAACGCUGGCGGUAGGCCUAACACAUGCAAGUCGAACGGCAGCACAGUAAGAGCUUGCUCUUACGGGUGGCGAGUGGCGGACGGGUGAGGAAUACAUCGGAAUCUACUUUUUCGUGGGGGAUAACGUAGGGAAACUUACGCUAAUACCGCAUACGACCUACGGGUGAAAGCAGGGGAUCUUCGGACCUUGCGCGAUUGAAUGAGCCGAUGUCGGAUUAGCUAGUUGGCGGGGUAAAGGCCCACCAAGGCGACGAUCCGUAGCUGGUCUGAGAGGAUGAUCAGCCACACUGGAACUGAGACACGGUCCAGACUCCUACGGGAGGCAGCAGUGGGGAAUAUUGGACAAUGGGCGCAAGCCUGAUCCAGCCAUACCGCGUGGGUGAAGAAGGCCUUCGGGUUGUAAAGCCCUUUUGUUGGGAAAGAAAAGCAGCGGGUUAAUACCCCGCUGUUCCGACGGUACCCAAAGAAUAAGCACCGGCUAACUUCGUG
rnacentral:rRNA from 1 species